rnacentral:rRNA from 1 species
GACGAACGCUGGCGGCGUGCUUAACACAUGCAAGUCGAGCGGUAAGGCCCUUUCGGGGGUACACGGGGGGCGAACGGGUGAGUAACACGUGAGCAAUCUGCUCUUCUCUUCGGAAUAAGCGCGGGAAACUGCGUAUAAUGCCGAAUAUGACCACUCUUCGCAUGUUGGGGGGUGGAGAGUUCGGGCGGAGAGGGAUGAGCUCGGGGCAUAUCAUCUUGUUGGUGAGGUAAUGGCUCACCAAGGCUUUGACGGGUAGGCGGGCUGAGAGGGUGACCGGCCACACUGGGACUGAGACACGGCCCAGACUCCUACGGGAGGCAGCAGUGGGGAAUAUUGGACAAUGGGCGAAAGCCUGAUCCAGCAACGCCGCGUGAGGGAUGACGGCCUUCGGGUUGUAAACCUCUUUCAGCAGGGACGAAGCGAGAGUGACGGUACCUGUAGAAGAAGGACCGGCCAACUACGUGCCAGCAGCCGCCGUAAUAC